UACGUAGGGGGCAAGCGUUAUCCGGAAUUAUUGGGCGUAAAGAGUGCGUAGGUGGUCUUGUAAGCGUGGGGUGAAAGGCAGUGGCUUAACCAUUGUAAGCCUUGCGAACUGUAAGACUUGAGUGCAGGAGAGGAAAGCGGAAUUCCUAGUGUAGCGGUGAAAUGCGUAGAUAUUAGGAGGAACACCAGUGGCGAAGGCGGCUUUCUGGACUGUAACUGACACUGAGGCACGAAAGCGUGGGGAGCAAACAGGAUUAGAUACCCUGGUAGUCCACGCCGUAAACGAUGAGCACUAGGUGUCGGGGCCGCAAGGCUUCGGUGCCGCAGUUAACGCAUUAAGUGCUCCGCCUGGGGAGUACGCACGCAAGUGUGAA
rnacentral:rRNA from 1 species